CAUCGAGAGAGAUGGCUUCUAGGAUGUCUAGAAGAGAUGAGAACUUUUCUCUUCCCUUCUUCUUUUCUCUCUCUAAUCUUUCUCUCUGAUCUUAUCUGAGGAGAAUGUGGGGCAUGAAAAGGAAGAAGAGCGAAGGGCGUGGAGAUGUAGUCUUGCGGCAAGAAAGGAACGCCCCAAUGAUUCAUGCACGUCUUCACACCACCCUUUUAAUUUUUAUCGCACAAG
rnacentral:lncRNA from 1 species